rnacentral:rRNA from 1 species
ACGCUCGACACCUACGGGAGGAGCAGUGGGGAAUAUUGCACAAUGGGGGAAACCCUGAUGCAGCGACGCCGCGUGAGCGAAGAAGUAUCUCGGUAUGUAAAGCUCUAUCAGCAGGGAAGAAGAUGACGGUACCUGACUAAGAAGCACCGGCUAAAUACGUGCUAGCAGCCGCGGUAAUCUGAGGCGGGCUGGACAAGGC